rnacentral:lncRNA from 1 species
UUAAUAUACUUUUUUUUGCAGAAUGGACCUUACUAUGCUCAACGUAAUGUUGAUUAUGAUGUGAUCAGAAUCCACAGCUUGUGCGAUCCAACGAUACCUAGCCAGAUAAAGGCUUUACUAUACCCAAACCAAUUACGUGUUUUCAAGAAAACAUGUUUUGGUUACUUAUAAGAUAUGCCCCCAAUCUGCAUGCAGAACCAGUCAAUUCAUCUUCUAAUGAAGUAUGAGUUAUCN